AGUCGAACGAGAGAUGAGGAGCUUGCUCUUCAAAUCGAGUGGCGAACGGGUGAGUAACGCGUGAGGAACCUGCCUCAAAGAGGGGGACAACAGUUGGAAACGACUGCUAAUACCGCAUAAGCCCACGGCUCGGCAUCGAGCAGAGGGAAAAGGAGAGAUCCGCUUUGAGAUGGCCUCGCGUCCGAUUAGCUAGUUGGUGAGGUAAUGGCCCACCAAGGCGACGAUCGGUAGCCGGACUGAGAGGCUGAACGGCCACAUUGGGACUGAGACACGGCCCAGACUCCUACGGGAGGCAGCAGUGGGGAAUAUUGCACAAUGGGGGAAACCCUGAUGCAGCGACGCCGCGUGGAGGAAGAAGGUCUUCGGAUUGUAAACUCCUGUUGUUGAGGAAGAUAAUGACGGUACUCAACAAGGAAGUGACGGCUAACUACGUGCCAGCAGCCGCGGUAAAACGUAGGUCACAAGCGUUGUCCGGAAUUACUGGGUGUAAAGGGAGCGCAGGCGGGAGAACAAGUUGGAAGUGAAAUCCAUGGGCUCAACCCAUGAACUGCUUUCAAAACUGUUUUUCUUGAGUAGUGCAGAGGUAGGCGGAAUUCCCGGUGUAGCGGUGGAAUGCGUAGAUAUCGGGAGGAACACCAGUGGCGAAGGCGGCCUACUGGGCACC
rnacentral:rRNA from 1 species